CAAUAAUUGCAUUUUCUUUAAGGGAGGUCGGCGCAUUCCUGUCGGUUAUAGUGUCUUACGAUACGUUAUAACGGAAGGGGGUGCUGCCCUUGUCUGUUUUUGAGACACUGGUUUUAAUGAUCGCUUUCGCAACACUUGUUGUAACGAUUACAGACCAGAAAAAAUAGACCUCCCUGAGUUUAGCAGCCGGGUGAGGUCUAUUCCUUGUUCGCGCUGACCCCUCUUGAAGGGGAGCGAUUCAUUGCUGACCGGAGAUAUUAGCGUAUCUUCG
rnacentral:sRNA from 1 species